rnacentral:rRNA from 1 species
CCAGUCCUCCAACUAACCUGGCUUGCCUGGAUACGAUUUGCACGCCGAACUAGAUUUUCCCUUGUUUCAUACCAUGGCAAGUCUAGUGUCCAACGGGUGCUUACACUCUUCGCGCAACCUGCGCUAGAAUGGGGGUAUAUCUCGCCCAAACGCCAAUUAAUACCGCAUGUGAUUACAAUGGACAUCCGUUCAAAAUUUUAGUCGGGGCACUCUGACUCUUCUUGUGGGGCCCGCUGCCUAUCACCUAUGUUGGUGAGGUAGCUGCUCUCCGCGGCUUGGACAGGAUGCUGGUCUGACACGACCACCUUCCUCACUGCUGUACUGAGACACGGUCGCUACACCUACGGGUGGCUACUGUCUGAGAAUUUUUGACAAUGGGGGACACCCUGAUCUGAGCUACACCGCGCGCAUGAUGAAAGUCUCCUGAUUGUGCACUCCUGUCAUUGUGGAACCCUGCGUGACGCUUACC